CAGCAGCCGCGGUAAUACAUAGGGUGCGAGCGUUAAUCGGAAUUACUGGGCGUAAAGCGUGCGCAGGCGGUUCGUUAAGACAGAUGUGAAAUCCCCGGGCUUAACCUGGGAACUGCAUUUGUGACUGGCAAGCUAGAGUAUGGCAGAGGGGGGUGGAAUUCCGCGUGUAGCAGUGAAAUGCGUAGAUAUGCGGAGGAACACCGAUGGCGAAGGCAGCCCCCUGGGCCAAUACUGACGCUCAUGCACGAAAGCGUGGGGAGCAAACAGGAUUAGAUACCCCCGUAGUCCCUGUCUCUUAUAC
rnacentral:rRNA from 1 species